rnacentral:tRNA from 1 species
AGGGGUCCAUGUCCUCGGCGGCGAGUCUGCCUCCAAAGCAGACUGAGGUGGGUUCGAUGCCCACGGCCCCUGCCA